AUUCAAUGACUCUAAAAAAGAACUGAAUAAAAUAUGAUUUUUUGCAUUUGUUUAUUCAUUAGCAAUGAAGCAAGCAAGAAGCACAGUUCUCUUUCGUUGCGCGUCUAAUUCUCAUGUCACGUCU
rnacentral:ribozyme from 12 species